GAGGGGGCGCUGCUAUGAUAUCACAAUGUUGGGUAAAUUAUGCACAACAGAACUAAUAAUUAAAUAAAAUAAAUUUACCGACCUCCGCCCAUUAUUUUUUAAGCAAGAAGAUGUCAGAGAAGAGAAAGACUCCAUGAGAGAGAGAGGAGAUUGAUCAACUGGGUCACAUCAGUCUCGUAAAAUUAAGGAGACAUGUUAGUCCACAAUACUUCGCAGGAGUGCUCGACAAUAAAAGAUGUAAUUCAAUCCCUAGCUCUGUUGAUCCCAGAUAUGACUCAUCAGAAAAAUAGUACAAUCCUCUAUAUACCAUGGAGCAGCAAGUGCUGGUUUGCCUCCGGA
rnacentral:lncRNA from 1 species